UACGUAGGGGGCAAGCGUUGUCCGGAUUUAUUGGGCGUAAAGAGCGUGUAGGCGGCCAGUUAGGUCCGUUGUGAAAACUCGAGGCUCAACCUCGAGACGCCGAUGGAAACCAACUGGCUAGAGUCCGGAAGAGGAGAGUGGAAUUCCCGGUGUAGCGGUGAAAUGCGCAGAUAUCGGGAAGAACACCCGUGGCUAAGGCGGCUCUCUAGUACGGUACUGACGCUGAGGCGCGAAAGCGUGGGGAGCGAACGGG
rnacentral:rRNA from 1 species